rnacentral:rRNA from 1 species
GGGGAAUAUUGGACAAUGGGCGAAAGCCUGAUCCAGCAAUGCCGCGUGAGUGAUGAAGGCCCUAGGGUUGUAAAGCUCUUUUACCCGGGAUGAUAAUGACAGUACCGGGAGAAUAAGCUCCGGCUAACUCCGUGCCAGCAGCCGCGGUAAUACGGAGGGAGCUAGCGUUGUUCGGAAUUACUGGGCGUAAAGCGCGCGUAGGCGGUCCAUCAAGUCAGAGGUGAAAGCCCGGGGCUCAACCCCGGAACUGCCUUUGAAACUGGCGGACUAGAAUCUUGGAGAGGCGAGUGGAAUUCCGAGUGUAGAGGUGAAAUUCGUAGAUAUUCGGAAGAACACCAGUGGCGAAGGCGACUCGCUGGACAAGUAUUGACGCUGAGGUGCGAAAGCGUGGGGAGCAAAC